GUGACCUCAAAUCAGGUAGGACUACCCGCUGAACUUAAGCAUAUCAAUAAGCGGAGGAAAAGAAACUAACAAGGAUUCCCCUAGUAACUGCGAGUGAAGCGGGAAAAGCUCAAAUUUAAAAUCUGGCGGUCUUUUGGCUGUCCGAGUUGUAAUCUAGAGAAGUGUUAUCCGCGCUGGACCGUGUACAAGUCUCCUGGAAUGGAGCAUCAUAGAGGGUGAGAAUCCCGUCUUUGACAUGGACUACCAGGGCUUUGUGAUGCGCUCUCAAAGAGUCGAGUUGUUUGGGAAUGCAGCUCAAAAUGGGUGGGUAAAUUCCAUCUAAAGCUAAAUAUUGGCGAGAGACCGAUAGCGAACMAGUACCGUGAGGGAAAGAUGAAAAGAACUUUGGAAAGAGAGUUAAACAGUACGUGAAAUUGCUGAAGGG
rnacentral:rRNA from 1 species